rnacentral:lncRNA from 1 species
GUAAGAGUGAAUAGCACCCCCCUCAAAUGGGAUUCCUGGGGCUCUCUGCUUGAGCAGGGCCAUUCCUUGCCCUGUGGCCACACCCUGUGUGAGGUCAGGAACAGCAGGCAGGUUUGAAAAGGCAAAGUGGGUGCAUAGAAUCUUGGCUUCCUCCCCUUCUGGCUUGGGGCUGUGAGCUCAUAAGCAGAGUGUUCUCAGCUGGUGGCUCUGUGUGUCACCGCUGCUCUGCUGUCCCUUGACCUCGCUGAGGUGACCCUCAGCUGGUUAAAUCAGUGCAGUGGCUGGGCCCUCCCGCUGCCCCAGGCUGCAGACGGGACUGCGGGCGAGGCAGCCUCGUGUUCACACAGAGCACGGGCUGAAUCCGUCUCCUCUGGCCUGAGCUGGGGAGCCCUCAGUGUGUCCUCUCACUCACUGCCAUGGCCUUGGGGUCAGGGAGGAAAAUAUGACAGCCAGCGGCAUCGACACAAAAGGCAGGCGCCUCGGUUUGGAAGAAGGCCGUCCUGGGACAGCCACCUCCUCGCCCUCCGCUGCCAGGCACCUAAGGACAAGCUUCCGAGAGCCGCGCGGUGCCGAGUGUCGUCAAAAGAGGGGUGCGCUCCCCUGCAGUGCCCCAGCCCUGUCUGGGAAGUACAGACUCGCCCCGUGCAGCUCAGUGGCCUCCUGACUGUUCUUUCCAGGUGUUCUCGGGCCCCUGAGGGCAGGAGCGGUGCUAGCUCUGAUCCCAGGCACGAGAGAGGGCCUGGAGCUCAUCAGGUGUCGGGCAGUGACUCCAAUCACAGCUUCGCAGUGCGGGCACCCUCUCCACCAGGUGGACCUCGGAACGCACAGCAGUAACCUUGUGAACAAUGCUGAACAAUGUUAUUUUGCUUAUUGAUAGGAAUGUGUUGCACAGUGCUUAUUAAUCACACACACUAAGCUCU